rnacentral:lncRNA from 1 species
CUUUGAGGUUCUAGGCUGAAAAAUCAGUUAAGAUCUGAAUUGGUUUCCCUCUAUAUGUAAUUUGAUUUUUUUCUCUCAUGCCUUUAAGAUUUUAUCUUUAUUCUCUGUGUUAGUCAUUCUAGCAUAAUGUGUCUUGGUGUGGGUCUGCUGUAAUUUUGUACAUUUGGGGGUCCUACAAGCCUCUUGUAUUUGAUUUUUCUGUUCCAUUCUUUAGAUUUUGGAAAUUUUUUACUAUUAUAUAAUUUAAAAAUUAUGCAUUCCUUUGGUUUGUAUCUCUGCUCCUUCAUCUAUUCCAAUAACUCUUAAAUCUGGUCUUUUCAUGUUAUCCCAUAAUUCUUCGAUGUUCUGUUCAUGGUUUCUUACCAUCUUCUCUUCAUGGGCAACUCUACUUUUAAGAUUAUAUAUUUUUUCUUCAUUGUCUGAGGUUCUGUCUUCCAAGUGAUCUACUCUGUUGGUGAUGCUUUUUAUUGAAUUUAUAAUUUGGUACUGAUUCCUUCAUUUUAAGGAUUUCUGCUUAUUUUUUUUUUUCAUGAUCUCUAACUCUUUAUUGAAGUAGUCUUUCACUUCCUGUAUGUUCUUUGAUUUCACUCCUCAUACUGCCCUUUAUUUCACAUAUCAGUUUAACUAUAUGCAAUCUGAACUCCUUCUUGGACAUUUUUUUUUUUACUGUGUUAUCAGUGGCUUCUGUUGUUGAAACAUCUUGUUUUGUUUGGGGCUCUUUAUUUCCUUGUUUUUUCAUGUUGUU